rnacentral:rRNA from 1 species
CCUACGGGGGGCAGCAGUGAGGAAUAUUGGUCAAUGGGCGAGAGCCUGAACCAGCCAAGUCGCGUGAGGGAAGACGGUCCUAUGGAUUGUAAACCUCUUUUGUCGGGGAGCAAAAAGGCCUCGUGAGGCCACAAGUGAGAGUACCCGUAGAAAAAGCCUCGGCUAACUCCGUGCCAGCAGCCGCGGUAAUCCGGAGGUUCCGAGCGUUAUCCGGAUUUAUUGGGUUUAACGGGUGCGUAGUGGGACGGGAAAGUAAGCGGUAAAAUCGACAGGUCCAACCUAUUUCCGCCGUUGAAACUGUCGGUCUUGAGUGGGCGAGAAGUAUGCGGAAUGCGUGGUGUAGCGGUGAAAUGCAUAGAUAUUACGCAGAACACUGAUUGCGAAGGCAGCUUGCUAGGCCGGAUCUGACACUGAUGCACGAAAGCGUGGGGAUCGAACAGGAUUAGAUACCCGAGUAGUC